AGGGGAUGAAGUGAUGCUGACAAAUGAACAGGAAGAGGAUCAUAUUAGACACAUCCAAACUCAUGAGAUACAUUAUCACACUAUCUUGGGCAUAACAUUCAGAAUGAGCUGUUUUGUCUUCUCUCAUAAGGAGAGAAGAAAGAGAGAAGAGAGGCCGGCCAUUGCAGAGG